GACGAACGCUGGCGGCGUGCCUAAUACAUGCAAGUAGAACGCAGUUGCGAACGGGUGAGUAACGCGUAGGUAACUGCCUCAUAGCGGGGGUUAACUAUUGGAAACGAUAGCUAUUACCCCAUACUUUGAGAUGUACCUGCGUUGUAUUAGGUAGUUGGUGAGGUAAAGGAUCACCAAGGCGACGAUACAUAGCCGAGCUGAGAGGGUGGUCGGGCAAAAUGGGAAUGGGACACGGGCCAGGAUCCUACGGGAGGGAGGAGGAGGGAAACUUCGGAAAUGGAGGGAAGGCCGAACGAGCAACGGCGCGGGAGUGAAGAAAGUUGUCGGAGCGGAAAGCUCUGUUGUUAGAGGAGCGGUAACUAAAGAGAAAGGGACGGCUAACUACGUGCCAGCAGCCGCGGUAAUUC
rnacentral:rRNA from 1 species